CACGUAGGGGGCAAGCGUUGUCCGGAUUUAUUGGGCGUAAAGAGCUCGUAGGCGGUUCGGCAAGUCGGGUGUGAAACCCCCAGGCUCAACCUGGGGACGCCACUCGAUACUGCUGUGACUUGAGUCCGGUAGGGGAGCGUGGAAUUCCUGGUGUAGCGGUGAAAUGCGCAGAUAUCAGGAGGAACACCAGCGGCGAAGGCGGCGCUCUGGGCCGGAACUGACGCUGAGGAGCGAAAGCGUGGGUAGCAAACAGG
rnacentral:rRNA from 1 species